rnacentral:rRNA from 1 species
AUUGAACGCUGGCGGCAGGCCUAACACAUGCAAGUCGAACGGUAACAGGAAUCAGCUUGCUGAUUUGCUGACGAGUGGCGGACGGGUGAGUAAUGUCUGGGAAACUGCCUGAUGGAGGGGGAUAACUACUGGAAACGGUAGCUAAUACCGCAUAACGUCGCAAGACCAAAGAGGGGGACCUUCGGGCCUCUUGCCAUCGGAUAUGCCCAGAUGGGAUUAGCUAGUAGGUGAGGUAAAGGCUCACCUAGGCGACGAUCCCUAGCUGGUCUGAGAGGAUGACCAGCCACACUGGAACUGAGACACGGUCCAGACUCCUACGGGAGGCAGCAGUGGGGAAUAUUGCACAAUGGGCGCAAGCCUGAUGCAGCCAUGCCGCGUGUAUGAAGAAGGCCUUCGGGUUGUAAAGUACUUUCAGCGGGGAGGAAGGGAGUAAAGUUAAUACCUUUGCUCAUUGACGUUACCCGCAGAAGAAGCACCGGCUAACUCCGUG